rnacentral:rRNA from 1 species
GAUGAACGCUGGCGGCGUGCCUAACACAUGCAAGUCGAGCGAUCUCUUCGGAGAGAGCGGCGGACGGGUGAGUAACGCGUGGGUAACCUGCCCUGUACACACGGAUAACAUACCGAAAGGUAUACUAAUACGGGAUAACAUACGAAAGUCGCAUGGCUUUUGUAUCAAAGCUCCGGCGGUACAGGAUGGACCCGCGUCUGAUUAGCUAGUUGGUAAGGUAAUGGCUUACCAAGGCAACGAUCAGUAGCCGACCUGAGAGGGUGAUCGGCCACACUGGAACUGAGACACGGUCCAGACUCCUACGGGAGGCAGCAGUGGGGAAUAGUGCACAAUGGGCGAAAGCCUGAUGCAGCAACGCCGCGUGAGCGAUGAAGGCCUUCGGGUCGUAAAGCUCUGUCCUCAAGGAAGAUAAUGACGGUACUUGAGGAGGAAGCCCCGGCUAACUACGUGCCAGCAGCCGCGGUAA